GUCAAUAUGUCAUUUAAUUCAUGUUCAUCCAUAACAUCUACAUUCAUUUUUUUUAAUCAUUUCUUUUCAAUUCCAGGGCUAGCGGCUAGCAUGUUUGCCCGACAAGUGUUGAGGUUCUGCUUUCAGAUCUCAGCUCAGGUCAUAAAAACUCAAGACCUGCAUGAUCACCAGCCUCGCUUUGAUCUACACCAGUAAUGAUCUCGGCGUCCGUCUGCAAAACAAGCAAAACCAGAUCCAAGGCCUUCUUCCAUGAUUCCUGCUUGACGUCCUGGCUUUGACUUGUGAAAUCCCAGUGGAGUUGGCCAUCACGACGGAUAGGUAUUCUGUAAAAUUGUCUGCCAUUAAGUGCAGGACAACACCAAGGUAGGGGUU